UUUUCUAUCCCACUAUUUCUUCAAACCCUAACAAGAAAAUCCCUUAUUGCGCUUCUCUCUGUAAACACUAAAAAGGGUUUCAUGGAUCAUUUCAACAGGCUAUCAUUAAAGAUCACAGUAGGCAUUUCAACUGAAUUGGUGCUUGAUUGCCUAUCAGUAUGAACCAUCUAAAUCAUCCUUCUACUGUUUAUGAUUCUGAUGGUGGCAACACUUGCUUCAUUAUGUGAACCAAGACAUGGCAAUUACCACAAAUGAUGGUGCCUCACAUAGUUCUGAGUUUUAUGAUUUGGCUUGUUCAACUGCUCAGAGAAGGCCCUAUGCCAUUGACAAUUCCAACUUAAUAAAUGAUGCAACGUCAGAGGACUCCAGUAUUGGGACCGAGCUUCUUGAUACGUUGGUGGAGGGGCGAGUUAUGUAUUGCUCCCAGAAGAUGCGUGGAAGCAAUUGUUUUUGUGGUUUGGUGGAGGGCCAGUAAUGCCACGUAAAGUGAUAAAUUCAGGUUUGUCCAGUUGGCUGUAGAGGUCUUUCUUCUGUGGCUCCAACUUAUUUAUAUGCCAAAAAGAGACCAAUUUAUCGUUAGAAUAAGCAAAAAGGCACCUCCAAAGGAGACCGAAAAUCUCGAGGAAGAAUGAAACCUGAUUCAGGAUUCCGUUUUGAAGAAUAUGGUCUACGCGCAUCAUCAAUUCUUGGGUUCAAGUGGUCUUGUUGAGCGACCCGGAGUAGUGCAAAUCUCUGAUGCAGAAAAGAUAUCUUCCUUCCUCGAUUCUUGUACGGUGGGAAUGGUGAUGGUUAAAAUUUGCAGAACUUAAAGGUAUACUGGCCACCAGCAUGGAUGAAAACCUUAUGCCAGAGCACUUGCUCCAUUUGUGCUUGAAGAGUGAAGCAAAAUUUGGAUGCUCUCAUCCUACUGUUACCUACUGUUUGGAAGGAUUCUAAUGCUGCUUCUAUGGCAAGCAUGGUUGAGCCACUAAGAAGUCUUCAGCAAAGGGUUUUGUUUCUUUUGAAUGAGUGGCCGGAUCAUCCAGGGCUUCAAAAGAUUUUUACAUGUUACUAAGUUAGUAAGAUGUUGUUGGCUAUACCACUGGGCACUCCUCUGACUAAGUCCCUUGCAGCAUUACAAUUUUUGCUUAGUAAUGGCCAGAUGUUUGAGGAGAGCGCUCCAAAAUUUUGCUUUCUAUUCAACUCCAGCCAAUUCGCAUAGUGGCAUUCUCAUGGCAGAAGAUGGAGCUUGAAUCCAGGCCAGCUUUGCUCGAUGCAGUUCAGGAACAGUAUGAGAUGAAUACUGGAAAGUUACGGAUUCCAUUAUAUGGUGUUAUUCAUCGUGUCCAAACAUCCGAUGCUUCUGUAAAUGGUCUAUCUACAAUUCAUAGACUUCCAGCGGUGGGGAAUUUAAGAUGCCUCUUCAGCUUCUUCUUGCUUUCCUUGGCCAGAUUGAUUGUGUAUUCACGAAAAGUUAGAUCCAAGUCCUUUGUUGUUGGAAAAUCCGAAGAUUUUGUACAACGUUUUCGGCUAUUAUAAUUCAAUUCUUGCCAUUGGUUGAUGAACACAUAGAAACUCAUAGAAAAAACAUUGUGGGUGAGUUGAAAGAACAUCUGAAGCUAUGUAGAUGGGAGCAUGUAACAAUAGAGACCUCAAAAAGAAUUCGCCUGAAAACCAAGAGGAUAAUUCAGAAAUUCAAUAAUUUGCUGCAACCAACAGUAAUGGUUAUCAUUAACCAGGAAGUAGCAAGGAAAGGGUUCAAGAUUCCAUCUAUGUUAGAACCAAAGAACUCAAACACAAACUCUGAUACCGGUGUGGGAAUGGUGGCGCCAGUUUCCAUGGACAUGGAACUGUUCAAUUUCGAAGAAAGGCCAGUGUGGUACAACAAAUGGAGAGAAGUUUGUUCUGCUUUUGAAAGCUUGUAUCCUGGAAAGAAACUUGGGGUUUAAGGAUGCUGCGAAUUAACUUUGGAAAUAGGUUGGCACUUUCUGAUUUUCUAAAGUUGUUAGAGCAGGCUAUCACGACACAAGUCUGUUCUAUCUGAGGUAUGUCUAUAUAAAGUACCUUUUCUCAAAGCCAUCUCAAGUCGUAUCAUAUUGCUAUCUUCUAUUGUGUAGAUGCUGGGCAUCUUCACAGGACGCUGAGCUCAAUGCUACGAGUAGCUGGUCUCUUCAGCCAUCAUAUGAUGUUACACACUCUCAAAUUUAGCUUCUAAUUCAAAUCGGGAAACAGCAAACAAAUACUACUACAGAAGCUUGUCAAUAGUGCAGCAUGAACAUCAAAUUUGUUUAAAUUUCCACAAAGAUUUCAGCCUAGAGCAAGUUGGAAGAUCGGCCUCUUUCCUACAUCACCUCAUCAUGAUUCAACAGGAACAGCGGUUUGUUGCUUAUGAUUUUGCGGAGCAUUUGAAACAGUUGAGAAAAUGUACAGCUUCCUUGAAUAAUUUACACAAGGAUCAUCACAAUGUUGUUUCUGAUGGAGUUAGUGAGUGCUUCCUUACUCUUUACCAGAAUGCCACUUACAAGUGCAUGUGGCAACAAAAGCACCUAUUUGAUAGUCUGUACACCAUGUCACGUGAAUCGUCUCUGUUGUUGAGAAAAGUUGAGGGUUCCCAUUUGGUUGAUCAAUUGUCAAGGUUGAAUCCCACAAGAUUCUUGUUGUCGUUGAGAGAUGUUUAUGUCAAAUUUUAAGAUAUUAAAGGAAUCAUUGGAUCAGUAUCUUCUCAGUGGUAAUCUUGACAACACCAGAAUCUUGCGCUACCCCCUUUAUAGUCUCAAAACAGAUGGAGCAGUUCUGCAAAAUUUUAAGGAAUUAAAUGAUAUUCAGAAGGAUAAGGUUCUAAAGGAGCAAGAUGGUGGUAGAAGAUCUUUUGCAGGGACGUUGCCUGGCUGUUCUGAAGAUGUUUCUUUACAAGGGCAAAUUGAUAAUGGAGGAAUAUCAUUCCAGUGUGGAUCCUGAGAAUCAGUUGAUGUUUACCUCUGGUAACGGUGGUUCUUUGGUGACCAUUACCAACCUUGAACCCGCAUUUGCUGAGUCUGUCAAGAAAUCUUUGGAGCAGAUUAAUGAAGCAGUUCAGAAGCUAGGUUCAGUCAGCAGUUCUAUUCUUUCUGAAGACUCUCCCCAUGGAAACAUCACUUUGAGGAGAGUUUUAUUCGAGGCAUCCUUAGUGAAUCUUUGAUUGGAUCUUAUAUGCAAAAAGCUUGGUGAAACAAUUAGAUGCGGCGAAUGUUGAACUCAUAGACAAUGCUGGGGAGAAAAAGCCAAGUGUCUGCUCUCUAGUGCAGGUUUCUGAAUCGCAAAAAUUCUUACAAUGGAAGGUGGCAGAAAUGACGCACUCCUUGUAUUCUAUAAAGGGUUUGGUAUUCCGCUGAUAAAUGCACAGAAGAGCAACACAAUGUACUUAGACACCAUGCCCGGAGUAGUGCAAAUCUCUGAUGCAGAAAAGCUAUCUUCCUUCCUCGAUCCUUGUAAGCUGGGAAUGGUGAUGGUUAAAGUUUGCAGAACUUAAAGGAUGAAAACCUUAUGCCAGAGUGCUUGGAGAGUGAAGCAAAAUUUGGAUGCUCUCAUCCUACUGUUACCUACAAUUUUUACAAGGAUUCUAAUGCUGCUUCUGUGGCAAGCAUGGUUGAGCCACUAAGAAGUCUUCAGCAAAGGGUUUUGUUUCUUUUGAAUGAGUGGCCGGAUCAUCCAGGGCUUCAAAAGAUUUUUAGAUGCUACUAUGUCAGUGAGAUGUUGUUGGCUGUACCACUGGGCAUUCCUCUGGCUAAGAUAAUUCAAUGAUAAUGGACAUCGAACUGUUCAAUUUUGAAGAAAGGCCAGUGUGGUACAGCGAAUGGAGAGAAGUUUGUUCUGCUUUUGAAAGCUUGUAUCCUGGAAACUGGAAAGACACUUGGGGUUUAAGGAUGAGAUUGUAGAUUUCAUCAGUCAACGUAAAAAGUUCGGACACUUCAUGCUUUGUAUACCGAGAAACAGCGAAGCAUUUAUGGUUAUUACUAAAAAAUAUUUGCAGAACUGCAACAGAUUAUAGAGAUCCCUGGAAGGAUGAAGCCAAGAAUUUUGGAAAGAGGAGGGCACUUUCUCAUUUUCUAAAGUUGUUAGAGCGGGCUAUCACGACACAAGUCUGUUCUAUCUGAGGAUGCUGAGCUCAAUGUUAACCAUCCAAAUAGCUGGUCUUGCUUUAGCCAUCAUAUGAUGUUGCACACUCUGUCAAAUUGAGCUUCUAAUUCAAAUUGGGAAACAGCAAUCAAAUACUACUACAAAGUACGUCAAAUUUGUUUAACUUUCCACCAAGAUUUCAGCCUAGAGCAAGUUGGAAGAUCGGCCUCUUUCCUACAUCACCUCAUCAUGAUUCAACAGGAACACCGGUUUGUUGCUUAUGAUUUUGCGGAGCAUUUGAAACAGUUGAGAAAAUGUACAGCUUCCUUGAAUAAUUUACACAAGGAUCAUCACAAUGUUGUUUCUGAUGGAGUUAGUGAGUGCUUCCUUACUCUUUACCAGAAUGCCACUUACAAGUGCAUGUGGCAACAAAAGCACCUAUUUGAUAGUCUGUACACCAUGUCACGUGAAUCAUCUUUGUUGUUGAGAAAAGUUGAGGAUUCCCAUUUGAAUGGUUGCUCAAUUGUCAUUGAGAUGUUUACGUCAAAUUUUAAGAAAUCAAAGGAAUCAUUGGACCAGUAUCUUCUCAGUGGUAAUCAAAUAGUGGCAACACCAGAAUCUUGCGCCACUCCCUUUAUAGUCCCAAAACAGAUGGAGCAGUUGGUUCUGCAAAAUCUUAAGGAAUUAUAUGAUAUUCAGAAGGAUAUAAAGGUUCUAAAGGAGCAAGAUGGUGGCAGAAAAUCUGCUACACGGAUGCUGCUUGGCCGUUUUUGAAGAUGUUCUUUACAAGGGCAAACUGAUAAUGGAGGAAUAUUAUUCCAGUGUGGAUCCAGAGAAUCAGUUGAUGUGUACCUCUGGUAAUGGUGGUUCUUUGGAGACCAACCCUGAAUCCGCAUUUGCUGAAUCUGUCAAGAAAAUUUUGGAGCAGAUUAAUGAAACAGUUCAGAAGCUCGGUUCAGUUAGCGGUUCUAUUCUUUCUGAGGACUUGCCCCAUGGAAACAUCACUUUGUGGAGUGUUUUAUUUGAGUCAUCCUUGGUGAAUCUUCUUGGAUCUUAUAUGCAAAAAGCUUGGUGAAACAAUCAGACUUGGCAUAUGUAUUUUAAUCAAUCACUUUACCCUUAUCACAAUUCUUCGUAUCUAUCAAAUUGAUGUGUUUUUUAUACAGGUUGAACUUAUAGACAAUGCUGGGGAGAAAAAGCCAAGUGUGUGCUCUCAAGUGCAACCACAUUUAAGGCAGCUUCAUGUGAUGAUUAAUCUACUCCUGACGUUUGGUGAUGGCAUCUUACUUGAGUUCUUAGCCAUGCACCGAACAUGGCAGGUGGCAGAAAUGACGCACAUGGUAGCGAACGUAUUUUAAAGGGUUUGGUAUUCCACCUGUAGGAAAAGAUGAAAGUGGAGAUAAAUCUGAAGAAGCAACUGGAACUGGUAUGGGUGAAGGUGCUGGUGUGAAUGAUGUGAGUGAUCAAAUAACCAAUGAAGAUCAAAUUCUUUGGGUUCAAGACAAGUAAUACUAUAGAUUGGGGACAAAAAGCCUUGAAUAAUCUCCAGAGUAAGAAUGAUAAAGGGAUAGAGAUGGAAAACGAUUUUAACGCAGAGACUUUUGAGCUUACUCAGGACUCUGAAGACGAUGACAAUGAUGAAGGAGAACCUAAUAAGGCCAUGAGAGAAACUGGAGAAAAUGGUGAAGUAGCUGAUGAACUCUUGGGGGUAAAGAUGAUGAACGUAAUCAAGAUAACAAACCGGAAAAGUAGGAAACAGGAUCAUCUGUGAAAGAUUCAGCUUUGAACUCCAGGGAAUCAAGAGCCAAGAAAGAUGCUGCUGCUGCAGAAGACACCGGGGGACUACGAAUUGUGAGGAGUUUGAUAAGCAGAAAAUUGACGUCGAAGCUGAAAAUGAUGAUCCCGAUGAAGGUGACAAUAUGGGGGAUGCUGUGAUGAAUAAAGAAGAAGCUUGUGCGGAUCCCACGGGAAUGAAGCUCGAUGAUGAGAAGGUGAAUCAAGGGCUAGGAGAAGAUAUGAACCUGGAUGAAGUUUCUGAUGCCAUGGAAGAUGAUACAGAUCCUGAAGAAGAAAAUGAUGAGAAUGUGAGUGAUGAAGAUGGAAAAGGGAAUCCAGUGAAUGAAGAAGAUGGCAUGGUAUGGAUCAUGAUGGUGCAGAAACUGAUUUAACUGAGCCAAGUAAACCUUCUAGCGAACAAACAAUGCCUGAUAUUAAAAGGGAUCACGUGCCCAACUAUGAUUCUGCAACGAGAAUUAAUUGUAAUGCACAGGCAUUGGAUUCAAGCAAUGUUGCACCAGAGGAGCAGUGGGUUAACAGCAGUGAUAUGCAGAAUGGUCUUGCUCCUUCAAGUAGUAUGCCUUCUAGUAAUGCUCCACAGAUGGAGAUUACAAAGAACAAAACCAAACCCUUACCAUAGUGUUGGGUAUGCAAUCAAAGAAUGGAAAGAAAGAGUGAAGGUAUCUGUUGAUUCAGAGGAGAUUGGUUUGCUAAUAUCAGAAUUGAGUCAAGAACCGUGGAAAGGAAAACUUAUCACUUUCAGUACCAACCCCCAAUUUCAGAAUAUUGUAGGUGGCAAUUUGAUAUCAAAGACCGCAUCCAUUAAACGGAUUGAUUGGAAGAUUCAACUGAUUUUCAGAAGGUGAAGACCCUUAUCUUGUGGUAUAAAGGAGAAUGCAACUAAACUGUGGAGGGAAUAUGAGCUAAGCACGACAAGACUUUCACAGGAGUUGGCUGAGCAAUUAGGUUCAGUCAUGGAACCCCCGUAGCCAGCAAGCUCCAAGGAGAUUACAGGACUGGAAAACGGAUUAGCAUGAACCCUCAUAUAAAUUCCCGUUUUCUUUUGUCACUUGGUUUCCAUUGGCUCAGUCCUCUUGGGUUAUCUGAGUCAUUUUUUACUUGUGGAUGCAGGGAAUUCCGUACAUAGCAAGUCAUUACCGAAAAGAUAAGAUCUGGUUUAGGCGCACGCGUUCCGACAAGCGUGAUUACCAAGUGAUAAUUGCAGUUGACGAUCCAGGAGUAUGGCUGAGAGCAAUCAUGGUCACAUUGCAACUGAAACUUUGGUUACAGUAUGCCGUGCAAUGUCUCAACUCGAUGUGGGGCAGUUGGCUGUUGCAAGCUUUGGCAAAAUGGCUAACAUGGCAUCAGUUCCCAGUACUCUUGUGGAUCUGAUUAGACAGUGGUUCGAAUUUAUGCAAAAUAUGAGGGACUAGAUGAACCUUACGACUUCGUUAUCCUCGAUUCCUGAAGUUCUUCUAUCUUACGACUAAAUGUGAAAGUGACUAGGAGCGAUGAAGUUAAUUCGUCUAAGGACUUGUGAGGUAACAAAACUCAAGUUCUAGAAGAUAAAGCGGUGCUGGUUUGAAGAGAAGCAAUGCCAAAAUGAGAGAAAGGGCAAGAAGAGAUCGCUGCCCUCCACCAAGCUCGGACAGGGACUGUUUCCAAAUGCAACACAGACCUCAAGACCAUCCAAGAAAUUAGAGUAGAAAAGAUGGAUCCAAGAUCCCUGUGAAAAGCUCACAAUGUGAACCUCAGAACCGGUCACAUCCACAUUUGAGUAUUUGUAGCAGAAGAGAAGAACCUGUGAGCUAAACACUGCAUACUUACUUUGUAACUUUAACCCAUGUAACUUUGGGUGUCUCCUUCUCAUCCAGCUCUUCAAUAUCCAUCUUGAUUUUUUUGACUUAUCAUUCUAGAAAUAGUAGAGUUUAAAAUAUAAAACGAUAGAUUAGUUCAUUCUCUUCUCGAGACUGCACAUUAGUGGGCAGCAUGCAGAUUUAACCUUCAGUUUUGCAGAAUAAUGCUCAUGAUGAAGAGAAUCAACAAGAAUGAAUACCAGAAAAACUUUGGUUUCACUUCUGGGAAAGCGCUCUUUUUCAUAUUUUGUUAUAAAUGGACCGACUAAUCCUAUACAGCAAUUUUCAGUUUA